rnacentral:lncRNA from 1 species
UUUUAAUAAAAUGUUAAAAGGUGGAAUAUCUUUUAAAUGUUAACAUUUUAUAAAGAGAGAAUUUAAGAAAACAAUUUAUUGAAUAUAAAAUGAUUGCAGAACAUAAAAAGAUUUUCAACACAUUAAAGUAUUUUUCAUUAAAAUAAGAGGAAAAAUCAUGUUGAGUGGUACUUAAAUUUAAAAUUGAAUAGUGAUAUCAAAAAACUUUCCAAAAAGGGGGAAAUAAUUCACCCUUCAUUAUGCAGCAAGAUAGUUUCCUGUUCAUCUAACCUAAACAUUUACAGUAACUGAUUUAUUCACCGUUGAAAAUCACAUCUAUUGCAGUUCAGAUAAUUUCUCUGCAUUAGGAAAAUGAAUAAAUUAAAAGUGUGCUUCAGCAAUUUAGUCCUCUUAGCAGAUAUUCUGCAAGCUUGGUAGAAGAUGUCAAAACCUGCUGAUAUCUAACAGAGUCAACUCCAAGUUUGUGUAUCCCAGUCCAUUCUACCUUUCCAUCAGGCAGUACAUGUGGAAAUAGAAAAGCAGCUCUCUAAUUAAUCAAAGUCAGAUGUGCCUGAACGCCUGGAGUUGCUGCUGAUCCUUGUCCCAGCUUCUCCCAUGUUCUCGCUCUAUGUUUUUACCUUGAAAACUUCUGCUCUGAGCUGGGAAUGCCUGAAGGGCUUGCACGCGUGCUAAGACGUCAGCAAAGUGAAUGCCUAUUCAAGGAAUAAUAAAGAUUUCUACAAAAGCUGAGAAAUACCUUACCUGAAGUUUCUGAAACUAAAAUUUAUGAAUGGCUGGUGAGAAGAUUGCAUGUCAAGAUUGCAUGAACUGUUUUAAUCCUAGAGAAGUUAUAUCUUAUUCAAAUAUUUCCAGGAAGAUUGUCUUAGGGUAAUAGCUUGUACACAUACACAUUUUAAAAGAAUUUAAACUUAGGUUUGUCUUGUGCAUAUGAACACAUGCGGGUUUAUAUCUUGUCCACAAUUAUCCUUCAAGAUAAUAAAAAGAAAAAUAGUGGCCCUAACUCUGAAUAAUAUUACAAACGGGAACAAGCAUAAAUGUAGUUUUUAAGCUAGUGAUGAAGGCAAAAAUACUUCUAGUUACCUCUCCACAAAAGUCUAGCUGUACAUUUUUUCACUUUGCCACUAUAAAGCUAUUUCUUUAAGAAUUCAGAAUGAAAUGCUACUAAAUAUUUGGAAGAUGUUAAGAAGGUGGACAGAAUCUGACUGAUAGCACGUAGAACAGUGAACAUUUUAUUUUUUAGAAAAUGAAUGUUUCAAAGUCGUCUGCCUACAUUAAAUAUUUUUUUCAUACUUUUCAAGGCAACUUUGCAUUUCUGAGCUUUUCUUUUUCUUGAAAUGCCUUCUAUUUUUAAGUGGUAUUCAUUUUAAUAAGCACUUUUAUCAAGAAAAAAAUUACUGAAAAAAAUGAGAGAUUAUGAAAGAAUUCCUUAUAAAACGAUGAAGGUCAAGUUACAAAAAAACAAAGCAGCAUUUAUUAGACCAUGACCCAGUUAAUUAAAAUAGAGUGCAUAUUUUCCUUCCUUUGAUUCACAGAAUCUCAUAUGUGUUUGUGGACCUGUGUGAGGAUGUAAAAUGGUCCCUGGUGAACCAGAAGUCCCAUUUCCUCAUCAAACUUAUUAGUAGUUGUAUUGACCAGCAUGAAAAUAGAUUCUGCAUAUGAAAUCAAAAGAAUGAGAAAAUAUGAAGAACAUCUCAUAGGGAAUAAAUUUCAAGAGAAUAGUGAUUUUGUAAGAAUAAGAGCUAAUACUUAUUAAGUGUCAUUAACUGAUUAAGCACUGUGGUAAGUACUUUCUGUGUAUUAACUCAUUUAAUUGUCAUAACAAUCCUAAUUAUUAUCAUUCUCAUUUUAUAGAUGAAGAAGCUGAGAUGCAGAGAGGGGAAGAAAUGUUCUGUUUAACUGCUCGCAAUGGGUAGAGUUGGUAAUUGAACCCGGACAGUCUGGCUCCAGAGUUUGCUCUAAUUGCUUCUCUGAUUCUCAAACUUGAGAGUGUAUCAGAAUCCCUAGGAGGGUUCAUUAGAAAACAGAUUUCUGGGUCCCAAUUUCCGAGAUCCUCAUUUAGUAUGUCUGGGGAGAGGACCAAAUUUUCCAUUUCUAGGGAAGUCCCCAGGUAAUUCCGAUGCUGCGGGUCCAAGGACCACACUUUGGGAGCCACUGCAUUACACUAUACUGCCUGUUAGGAAUUGCACUUGAUCAAGCCUGAUUGUAGACAAUUUUAGGUUCUAUAAAAUUUUGCUCUAUGAUUCAAAUGUUUACUUUGGUCAAAGCAAAUAAUAGAUCAACUUGCAGAAAUUGUAGGUUACAAUUAAGCUGACCAUUAGAAAAGGCACAUCAGCACAAAUCCACUCAUUAAAUAAUCAUUUAAUUGCCAAUCAUGGGUUUUGAGGCUUGAAAUACAAUGAUGGGCAAUAUAUAUUGACCUUGCUCCCAAGAGCUUCACUUUAGGAAGACAUGUAAAUAAUAAUUCGAAUAUAGUGUCAUGAGGGCUGCUAUGGAUGGGUAAAGGGGGUGGAGAUAGAAAGGAUCAGAAAAUCUUCCACAGAGGAGAGUUUAUGAAUUGUCUUAAAGUGUGAAUUGAAGUUAGCACUGAUAUAUGUCUCAUGAACAUGGCAUGGGCAAAGUUAUGGAGAUGAGAAAAGGUACAUUGAGUAUUGGAAAUUAUUAAGAAUUUGGUUGGCUGCAGCCCAGGAUUUGAGCAAUGCAUGGGAGGCUGAAUAAAAGAAGAUUAAUAUGAUUACAAAGAAAAUUAUUAAAGCAUGAUGACUUCUUGGAGUUUGGAUGAGAAGUGAGUGAGAGGUUUUUAAGCGAGAGAUAUGAUCAGUGAUGAUUUCUAAAUAGGUAACUGCUAAAUGCAGAGUUAACAGCAUUAACCUCGUAGUUGUUUGGAUAACAGUUUAGAAAAAAGGAUCUUAGCGGCAAGGAGACCAGUCCAGGCAGCAAAUGACAUAGGAAAUGGUCUAAAAUAUUGGCUAUGGGGUUGAAUUGAAAAAGGAAGAUUAGAUAAAUAAAUAAAUCAUACUUGUAUGGUUUUGGUUUAAGUACUUUACAUAUUAUAUUAAUAACUCAUAAUUAAUCCUCACAAGAAGGCUGGUACUAUAAUUUUCUUUUUAUAAAGAAACUAAAGCAGAGAAAGUUCAUUUACUGGAGGUCACACUGCUUGUCAGUGGUAGAGCCAGGAUUUGAACUCAGGUAUUUGGCCCCAGAGUUCACUUUCACAGGCAGGCCUGGUAAGAGAUUGCAUGUUGAAAGUAAGUAAAAAAAGGAGGUUUUAAAGGUUUCCUGGCUGGAAACAGUGGCUCAUGCCUAUAAUCCCAGCACUUUGGGAGGUUGAGGUUGGUGGAUCACCUGAGGUCAGGAGUUUGAGACCAGCCUGACCAACAUGGUGAAAACCCAUCUCUACUAAAAAUACAAAAUUAGCCAGGCAUGGCGGCACAUGCCUGUAAUCCCAGCUACUGGGGAGGCUGUGGCAGGAGAAUCACUUGAACCCAGGGGGCAGAGGUUGCAGUGAGCCAAGAUCGCGCUACCGCACUCCCACCUGGGUAGCAAAAGCGAAACUCCAUCUCAUAAAAAUAGAAGGGUUCCUACACCAAACACAUAUUUAAGCUAGUGAAUAUGCAUACACUAUCCAGUAGAUACGGCUUAGGUAACUAAUCCAUUCAAGUGAUUAUCUAGUGGAAUGUAUAGGAGACCAGACAUCCCUUUCAGCAAGUUUCCUUUAUUAUGAUUCUCUAAGGCUGGAGUGAACACAGUGCCCAUCAGAGGGGAUGAUUAAUGAAACAGGCAUCAUCUCUAGAGCCAUCGUCAUGCUGACACAGGGACAGCACAUCUUCCAUUGGCUUGCCCUGCAAAAGUUAUUGUUCUGAGAACAACUGCUAGGUUCAUUCAUAGAAAUGAAGUAGUUACAGUCUUGGCUCGGGAGAGUCAACUAUGUAUUUGCACAUUUCAUUAUAAUGUGGUGCUGUAGUAGCCAAUCUAUAGGGUGCUACUGAAAAUUAACAGGGUCAAGAUUACACAACACUGUUAAAGUGUGGCCACAGCUACUAAACUUAUCACUUCCCAAAUGACUACAGAUAAUUUGUCUUUCAUGGUGAAGAACAAUAACAUAAAAUAGAGUAAGAUGAUAUAAAGUAAGAGAUAAGAAAAUGGAAGACAUUUCAUUGCAGCUUCUCCAGCUUGGUGGACUGAAGACACCAACUUAGAAUCACAAGCUCUUCCUGGACACUGAAAUAGUCAAUCCAAUGUGGGAGAAAGAAUUUUAGGACAUUUCUGAAACAAAGUCUGUUUGUUCAAAAGACAUAUCCUUCUUGAAAUCUAAGAUAAAGGUACAACUUUGUAGCCCUAGUCAUUUACCAUCUGGAAAGGAAAUGUCCUAGUUUACGAGACCUUGCUAAGGUCUGUAACUUAAAAUAAAAUAAAAAAAAAGGGGGUUCCUACACCAAACACAUAUUUAUGGUAGCGAAUAUGUAUGCAAUAUCCAGUGGGUAUAGACUAGCCAACUAAUCCAUUCAAGUGACGAUCUAGUGGAAUGUAUAAGAGACCAGACAAGACUGUAACUACUUCAUUUCUACAUACCUAUUACCUAGCAAAAUGUCUAAUAAAUGAUAGACCCUUAAUGUUGACUGAAGAAAUUUGAAGCAGCAAUGGGGAUCCCAGAAUGAACUUAACAGUUGUUCUCAGAACAAUAGCAAUGCAUCAUUACAGGGGAGACAUAAAACAGGCAAAAGAAAGAGAAAGAAAGAAAGAAAGAAAGAGAGAGAGAAAGAAAGAAAGGUAGGUAGGUUAAGGAAAGGAAGGAAGGAAGGUGAAGGAAAGGAAGGAAAGGAAGGUGGAAGGAAGGAAAGAAGGAAAGUAGGAAGGAAGGAAGGAAAGAACGAAGGAAGGUAGGAAGGAAGGAAGAGAGGGAAGGAGGGAGGAAGGAAGGAAGGAAGAACUUUGAACUUUCUUUUAGAAACUCAGUUUCUAAGGCUUGAGGGUUCACAGGGAAUUUUUAGGAGUACAAUUAU